rnacentral:lncRNA from 1 species
UUUUAAAAAAAAUUGAAUUCGUUAACAGAAAAUAAUAAAUUAUUUAUUUAUAGUAAAGUUAAAAAGAAAUAUGAAAUUGAGCCUUAUUUAAUAAAAAAUAACUCUGAAAUCAGGAAAUGUUUUACUAAAUUAAGGGUAAGUGACCAUAUUUUGGAAAUCGAAAGGGGCAGAUACAGAAAUAUAAAAAAAAGAGGAACGUUUAUGUCAACAUUGUUUUUUAAAUAAAAUAGACGAUGAAGAACACUUUCUGUUUGUAUGUAAAAAAAAAUGAAAAAUUGAG